GAAAGAAAAGGAAACAUCUGUCUCUUCUCCUGUUGAUGAAUCCUUUAAAGAUACCUCCUGCAGGCUUUUCUCAAUCUAGACUUAAGAAUCAUCAGUAUGAUCCUAUUGGGACAGGACUUCUGGAAAGAGAGAUUCUGUUUUAUUACCUUCAUCCAUCCCACCAGUCAAAGAAGGAGAAACUUCCAACAGGAUCUAAUAUUCAUCGGAAGAUCCAGGAUCUUGUUUAAAAAACAGAAAAAAAAGGUUGAGGAAUAGCAACCUGUACUGGAGAUGCUGAACCCCCUGUUUCCAGACUCCAUCACUAUAUCAGGGUGGGCAGACCAUGCCACAGGAGCAGCAUCUGGCAUCUUUCUCUCCUCCUUUUUUUUUUUUUUUUUUUUAAGUCUUUCAAUCAAGUAAGAAUUUUUGCUGCCCCCUCCCCUCUCCUCCAUGCCCAGCAGCACAUCCCUUUCU
rnacentral:lncRNA from 1 species